rnacentral:rRNA from 1 species
AUUGAACGCUGGCGGCAGGCCUAACACAUGCAAGUCGGACGGUAGCACAGAGAGCUUGCCCUUGGGUGGCGAGUGGCGGACGGGUGAGUAAUGUCUGGGGAUCUGCCCGAUAGAGGGGGAUAACCACUGGAAACGGUGGCUAAUACCGCAUAACGUCACAAGACCAAAGAGGGGGACCUUCGGGCCUCUCACUAUCGGAUGAACCAAGAUGGGAUUAGCUAGUAGGCGGGGUAAUGGCCCACCUAGGCGACGAUCCCUAGCUGGUCUGAGAGGAUGACCAGCCACACUGGAACUGAGACACGGUCCAGACUCCUACGGGAGGCAGCAGUGGGGAAUAUUGCACAAUGGGCGCAAGCCUGAUGCAGCCAUGCCGCGUGUAUGAAGAAGGCCUUCGGGUUGUAAAGUACUUUCAGCGGGGAGGAAGGCGACGCGGUUAAUAACCGCGUCGAUUGACGUUACCCGCAGAAGAAGCACCGGCUAACUCCGUGCCAGCAGCCGCCGUAA